CCUACGGGUGGCAGCAGUGAGGAAUAUUGGUCAAUGGACGAGAGUCUGAACCAGCCAAGUAGCGUGAAGGAUGACUGCCCUAUGGGUUGUAAACUUCUUUUAUAUGGGAAUAAAAUGAGGCACGUGUGCCUUUUUGUAUGUACCUUAUGAAUAAGGAUCGGCUAACUCCGUGCCAGCAGCCGCGGUAAUACGGAGGAUCCGAGCGUUAUCCGGAUUUAUUGGGUUUAAAGGGAGCGUAGGUGGGUUGUUAAGUCAGUUGUGAAAGUUUGCGGCUCAACCGUAAAAUUGCAGUUGAAACUGGCAGUCUUGAGUACAGUAGAGGUAGGCGGAAUUCGUGGUGUAGCGGUGAAAUGCUUAGAUAUCACGAAGAACUCCGAUUGCGAAGGCAGCUUACUAGACUGCAACUGACACUGAGGCUUGAAAGUGUGGGUAUCAAACAGGAUUAGAUACCCGUGUAGUC
rnacentral:rRNA from 1 species